UCAGCACACAAACCCAAAGGUCAUUAUUUUUCCAUUUGAUGACCUUUGCUAGUGUGCAAAAAUGAAUGGUACCGUGUCGCGCCUUAACUUUUGGUUUCAUACAGUGAAUUUUAAGGCACUAUAUGG